rnacentral:rRNA from 1 species
CCUACGGGAGGCAGCAGUGGGGGAUAUUGCACAAUGGGGGAAACCCUGAUGCAGCGACGCCGCGUGGGCGAAGAAGUAUUUCGGUAUGUAAAGCCCUAUCAGCAGGGAAGAAGAAAUGACGGUACCUGAGUAAGAAGCACCGGCUAAAUACGUGCCAGCAACCGCGGUAAUACGUAUGGUGCAAGCGUUAUCCGGAUUUACUGGGUGGAAAGGGAGCGCAGGCGGCACGGCAAGCCUGAUGUGAAAGCCCGCGGCCCAACCGCGGGACUGCAUUGGGAACUACCGGGCUGGAGUGCCGGAGAGGUAGGCGGAAUUCCUAGUGUAGCGGUGAAAUGCGUAGAUAUUAGGAGGAACACCAGUGGCGAAGGCGGCCUACUGGACGGUGACUGACGCUGAGGCUCGAAAGCGUGGGGAGCAAACAGGAUUAGAUACCCGUGUAGUC